UCGAUUUCUUCGGAUUGAAAUUUUAGUGACUGAGUGGCGGACGGGUGAGUAACGCGUGGGUAACCUGCCUCACACAGGGGAAUAAUCACUGGAAACGGUGACUAAUACCGCAUAAGAUUACCGGUAGGCAUCUACCGGUAAGGAAAGGAGCAAUCCGGUAUGAGAUGGGCCCGCAUCUGAUUAGCUAGUUGGUGAGGUAAUGGCCCACCAAGGCGACGAUCGGUAGCCGGACUGAGAGGUUGAACGGCCACAUUGGGACUGAGACACGGCCCAGACUCC
rnacentral:rRNA from 1 species